rnacentral:rRNA from 1 species
UGUGGUUUAAUUCGACGCAACGCGAAGAACCUUACCUGGGCUCGAACGGCUUUGCCGGCCUAGAAUAGGGCCUCCAUACGGUUUUCCGUAUGGCGGAAGUCGAGGUGCUGCAUGGCUGUCGUCAGCUCGUGCCGUGAGGUGUUCGGUUAAGUCCGGUAACGAGCGCAACCCCUGCCCUUAGUUACCAGCGGGUAAUGCCGGGAACUCUAAGGGGACUGCCUUGGUUAACGAGGAGGAAGGUGGGGACGACGUCAAGUCAUCACGGCCUUUAUGUCCAGGGCCACACACGUGCUACAAUGGCCGGCACAAAGGGUUGCCAACCCGCGAGGGGGAGCCAAUCCCAAAAAUCCGGCCUCAGUUCGGAUUGCAGUCUGCAACUCGACUGCAUGAAGUCGGAAUCGCUAGUAAUCGCGAAUCAGCAGGUCGCGGUGAAUACGUUCCCGGGCCUU